AAAAGNANCCAACAGGGAUUGCUCUAGUAACGNCGAGUGAACAAGCAAAAGCUCAGUUUUGAAAGCCUACUUUGUAGGCAUUGUAUUCUGAAGCCUAGAUUCUGGGAAACGGUGUUUAAGUCUUCUGGAAAGGAGCGCCACGGAGGGUGAUAGCCCCGUACGGCACUGACCCCAUUGUAGUUUCUAGGCGUGGAGUCGAGUUGUUUGGGAAUGCAGCUCAAAUGGGAGGUAUGCUCCUUCUAAAGCUAAAUAUUUGCGAGAGACCGAUAGCGAACAAGUACUGUGAAGGAAAGAUGAAAAGAACUUUGAAAAGAGAGUGAAAUAGGACGUGAAAUUGUUGAAAUGGAAGGGUAGGCUGCUAACCAUGUAGGACCGUGUCUGAGGGGAAGAUAAAAGCUACGGAAUGUGACUCUUCGGAGUGUUAUAGGCCGUGGUCCAAUGUUCCCACUUAGGCGCGAGGUC
rnacentral:rRNA from 1 species